AGCGGCGGACGGGUGAGUAACGCGUGGGAAUAUGCCCUUCUCUAAGGAAUAGCCUCGGGAAACUGAGAGUAAUACCUUAUACGCCCUACGGGGGAAAGAUUUAUCGGAGAAGGAUUAGCCCGCGUUAGAUUAGGUAGUUGGUGGGGUAAUGGCCUACCAAGCCUACGAUCUAUAGCUGGUUUGAGAGGAUGAUCAGCCACACUGGGACUGAGACACGGCCCAGACUCCUACGGGAGGCAGCAGUAGGGAAUCUUAGACAAUGGGGGAAACCCUGAUCUAGCCAUGCCGCGUGUGUGAUGAAGGCCUUAGGGUCGUAAAGCACUUUCGCCAGAGAUGAUAAUGACAGUAUCUGGUAAAGAAACCCCGGCUAACUCCGUGCCAGCAGCCGCGGUAAUACGGAGGGGGUUAGCGUUGUUCGGAAUUACUGGGCGUAAAGCGCACGUAGGCGGAUUAGUAAGUUAGAGGUGAAAUCCCAGGGCUCAACCCUGGAACUGCCUUUAAUACUGCUAGUCUUGAGUUCGAGAGAGGUAAGUGGAAUUCCGAGUGUAGAGGUGAAAUUCGUAGAUAUUCGGAGGAACACCAGUGGCGAACGCGGCUUACUGGCUCGAUACUGACGCUGAGGUGCGAAAGUGUGGGGAGCAAACAGGAUUAGAUACCCUGGUAGUCACACGA
rnacentral:rRNA from 1 species